GACGAACGCUGGCGGCGUGCUUAACACAUGCAAGUCGAGCGGUAAGGCCCUUUCGGGGGUACACGAGCGGCGAACGGGUGAGUAACACGUGGGUGACCUGCCCUCAGCUCUGGGAUAAGCCUGGGAAACCGGGUCUAAUACCGGAUAUGACUCCAUGACGCAUGUUGUGGGGUGGAAAGCCUUGUGCGGCUGAGGAUGGGCCCGCGGCCUAUCAGCUUGUUGGUGGGGUGAUGGGCCUACCAAGGCGACGACGGGUAGCCGGCCUGAGAGGGCGACCGGCCACACUGGGACUGAGACACGGCCCAGACUCCUACGGGAGGCAGGCAGUGGGGAAUCUUGCGCAAUGGGCGAAAGCCUGACGCAGCGACGCCGCGUGAGGGAUGACGGCCUCGGUGU
rnacentral:rRNA from 1 species